GUGACUAAUAAAAUGUCCUUUCUGAAGGAAAUCACCUUUCCAAGGUAUGUGUCCAAUGCAGAGAAGUCAUUAUGUUCAGGAGUUGUCUGCACUUCUGUGUUCACAACAGCACUAUUAUGUUGAUGAGAUGUCUGCUCUUCUGUGUUCACAGUAACCAAGAAUCAGCCUCAGUGUCAAUCAACAGACAAGUGGGGAAAGGAAAAGUGGGACAUAAGCACAGUGUAAUGCUGUGCCUCCUUAACAGAUGGACUUUCUUGCUAUCUAUAUACACCCAAGUGCACAGAAUUAUAUCAGUCACAACAGUAAUUUUCCUGUUUCUUUUCCAGAAAUUCUCACAAAUCCAAAACAGAUGAAUAUAGAUAUCCUCAAAAUGUGGAUCAAAGUUUUUAAUAAAAUAUUUUCACAAUUAUAUCUCCAAACUUCUAACUCCAUUAUAGUUUUAAUAUUAUUAAAUUCAACACUUAUUAUCAUCUUGAUGUCUGAGCAAGGCUUAGCACUGUUGAUUCACAUUGCACAUAUUUUCAGGGCAGUGAUUGGAAGUUUUCUUUUUCCAUGUUUCCAUCUUGCCAGAGUUCAUCUUUACUGAUGGUUCAGUCUUGCUGUCUUCCUGCUGCUAGGUGGGACAACAUCUACAAAGAGAUUUAAUGAUUUACCAAGGAACUGAGAGUUCACAUGUGGAGAAGCUGGGAUCCAAACCCAUAUACCAGGCUCUAAAGCAGAUGUUCUUAAUCAAUACAAUGUAAAAACUCAAAACAAUAGUAUUUCAAUGAAUAAUUUUAGGCUUUUAUUGAGAUGAAAAAAUAUAAUUUGCA